GACGAACGCUGGCGGCGUGCUUAACACAUGCAAGUCGAACGGAAAGGCCCUGCUUUUGUGGGGUGCUCGAGUGGCGAACGGGUGAGUAACACGUGAGUAACCUGCCCUUGACUUUGGGAUAACUUCAGGAAACUGGGGCUAAUACCGGAUAGGAGCUCCUGCUGCAUGGUGGGGGUUGGAAAGUUUCGGCGGUUGGGGAUGGACUCGCGGCUUAUCAGCUUGUUUGUGGGGUAGUGGCUUACCAAUGCUUUGACGGGUAGCCGGCCUGAGAGGGUGACCGGCCACAUUGGGACUGAGAUACGGCCCAGACUCAUACCGGAGGCAGAGGUGGGGAAUAUUGCACAAUGGGCGGAAGCCUGGUGCAGCAACGCCGCGUGCGGGAUAACGGCCUUCGGGUUGUAAACCGAUUUCGCCUGUGACGAAGCGUGAGUGACGGUAAUGGGUAAAGAAGCACCGGCUAACUACGUG
rnacentral:rRNA from 1 species